rnacentral:rRNA from 1 species
UACGAAGGGGGCUAGCGUUGUUCGGAAUCACUGGGCGUAAAGGGCGCGUAGGCGGCUUUAUAAGUCGGGGGUGAAAGCCUGUGGCUCAACCACAGAAUUGCCUUCGAUACUGUAUGGCUUGAGACCGGAAGAGGUAAGUGGAACUGCGAGUGUAGAGGUGAAAUUCGUAGAUAUUCGCAAGAACACCAGUGGCGAAGGCGGCUCACUGGCCCGGUACUGACGCUGAGGCGCGAAAGCGUGGGGAGCAAACGGG